CUUUUAUUUCCUUAUUUUUUUUGGGGGAGGUUUUAGUGUAACAAGGUUUCCGUAGGUGAACCUGCGGAAGGAUCAUUAACAAAAACCCA
rnacentral:rRNA from 1 species